CCCUUAGAUGUUCUGGGCCGCACGCGCGCUACACUGAAGGGAUCAGCGUGUUUUCCCUUCCCGAGAGGGACGGGUAACCCGCUGAACCCCCUUCGUGGUAGGGAUCGGAGCUUGCAAUUGUUCUCCGUGAACCAGGAAUUCCCAGUAAGCGCAAGUCAUAAGCUUGCGUUGAUUACGUCCCUGCCCUUUGUACACACCGCCCGUCGCUACUACCGAUUGAACGUUUUAGUGAGGUAUUUGGACUGGGCCUUGGGAGGUUUCGGCCUCCCUUGUUGCUCGGAAAGGCUCCCAAACUUGAGCGUUUAGAGGAAGUAAAAGUCGUAACA
rnacentral:rRNA from 1 species